ACUCCGACAUCGGAAUUCCUACCGUCCGGUGGGAUUUGGAUGUCGGAAACCUCUAGAAGGGUAACAUCAUGUUUUUAUAGAAUGUUUUCAUAUAUUUUUAAUGUUUUUAAGCAUGAAAUUAAAUGAGUUUUUGCAUGAAAAGUCUUUGGAGGAAAACCCAGGUUCGGCCACCGAAAGUCAAGUUCGACCGCCGAACAUGCAUGCGUUUUGGAGGCACGUUAGGCCCCCGAAAGCAUGAGCGAGGGAAGUCCAGGUUCGGCCGCCGAAAGUCAAGUUCAGCCGCCGAACAUGGCAUGCAUGCGGAGGCAC
rnacentral:lncRNA from 1 species